AGUCCCUCCCUCUGGACCCAGGUAAAGGCUGGUUUAGGUCUCCCUCUGGUGGAUCUGGGAGAGGUUGGCUUCGCACGCACCUGUCUCAGCUCUGCAAUCGCACACCUGCACCGGAGCCACAAUCACCAGGGGAUAAGAGGGAGAGCCUGACAACCGGCCGACGUCGGAUCGUUACUCACGUCACUUACACCUGUCUGUUCCUGCACGUGGGAGGACCACCGGGCACCGCGCACUGUCAAGGAGAUCAUCACCCGGGACCCCCUCCUUCACCUGCACCCCUCACGCCCGCUCCUGCUGCACCUCCAGUCGUGUUGAUUAAUAAAGUAUUCACUCACCUCC